rnacentral:rRNA from 1 species
AUUGAACGCUGGCGGUAGGCCUUACACAUGCAAGUCGAGCGAGCGGCGGACGGGUGAGUAAUGUCUGGGAAACUGCCUGAUGGAGGGGGAUAACUACUGGAAACGGUAGCUAAUACCGCAUACCAUCAGAUGUGCCCAGAUGGGAUUAGCUAGUUGGUGGGGUAACGGCUCACCUAGGCGACGAUCCCUAGCUGGUUUGAGAGGAUGAACAGCCACACUGGGACUGAGACACGGUCCAGACUCCUACGGGAGGCAGCAGUGGGGAAUAGUGCACAAUGGGCGCAAGCCUGAUGCAGCCAUGCCGCGUGUAUGAAGAAGGCCUUCGGGUUGUAAAUUACUUUCGGCAGAGAAGCGUUACCCGCAGAAGAAGCACCGGCUAACUCCGUGCCAGCAGCCGCGGUAAUUC